GCCCGGCUAGCUCAGUCGGUAGAGCAUGAGACUCUUAAUCUCAGGGUCGUGGGUUCGAGCCCCUUUACGUUGGGCG